UCUCUUUUUCACACCUUUCAUCUUCCCAAAGGCAUGAGAGUAUCCUCUGGUACAAGCUAUGGCGUGAGGGGUUGCCUUCUGCACGAGACCUGGGAAAUUAGCCUCUGAAAUAAGUGGGUGCUGCUCUAUUUGGGCGACAGACCCGCAAGCGUGGUACAGAACACACUGUACAGCACACAGAGCUCUGCUGCUGCUUGUGGAAGCACGUACGUGUAUUGGUUUAAUUAAACUCAUUUCAUAAAUUGCCUGGAUUAAUUAACACGCGUUUCUGCUCAAAUUUGUGGUCCUUAAGAGGAGCGAGCCGCUCACUGCGUUAUCCGGCCUGAUUGUGUUUGUGCUCCUUCAGAGUCAGCACCUGUCUGGCACCUGCACUCAAAAACGCCUGUGAACUCCAUGAAGUCUUGUUUAAAACAAACCGUGAAGUGAGAGGAUAGUUGAUUAGAAAUGGUGCAAUUAUGUCGUGAUGAUGAAGGAUCCCUCCCCUGCACUUGGACAGUGUUUGUGACAUCCCUGCUCUGGAUUGUUUCCUGGCCCUCGUGUUUGUCACCCUAGGGCUCCCCCUCCUGCAGUUUCACAGGACUUCCAGCUCCAGAACUGUCUUCUUUGCAACUUCUUUCUGUGCACUUUCCUACGUGUCUGUUCAGGUGUCAAGUCAGUCAGCUGGAAUGCCGCAGUAUUAAAUGUUUUCUAGCAGUAAACGAUAGUUAAAUUGGAAUGAAAUUCCUGUGUGCGUAUGUGUAAAAUGUACAGAGGUCAUUUUUAAAGGAGAACGUAAACACAGCUGUCUGCUCUGGGGAGACUCCAGCCUGCCACACCAGUGGUUGAGAGCCUUGUCUCUGUAGUCAUGUAAAAUAUUUCUUUCUGUUCCUCCAGCUCAGGACACCCAACUUUCCAAAUCGUCACGUGUUCCUUCACUUCUGCAGCGUGCAUUUUGGCAAUGCUGCAGUCCCGGAAGUCCAACGUGAAUUACCCUGUUUUCUGCAAUGUCUGGAAGGUCACAUUCCCUAGCAUCUUUUCCUCUUCUGAAAACAGCUGCAGUAGCCUAAAACAAGUGAGGUAUGAAACCAGUCAGGAAAUCUGCGUCCCUCUGCGUAUCAGAUUUGGCAGCCCGAAGCAUGUGUAUCUUUCCAUUCCCUGCCGCAAAGGUAGACUGACUCCAGAAUGAGUUUUAAUGAAGUCAUCUGGUUUGCAAAUGAGAAAUUGGGAGUGCGUGCAGGAAAAGCGGUGGUGAGAUUGGAGGUACGCUGGCGCUGUUUUUCAGGAGUGAACUUUUUGUUUUGACUGUUCAGGAGACAUUUUUGGUUCUAGCGUUUAAAAAGAAAAAAAUCAGUUUCUAAAUAUGGGUCAGCAUUGAGAUCUUGGAGAGGAAGAA